GCGGGGUAAGGGUUUUCACUUUCGAAAAAUCGAUUUUUUUUUGUUUUAUCUUAUUGUUUAACAUUUCAAGAAUAUGUCCUCAAAAUUUUAAUCCGAUCUAAGCAAUAUUCUUGAAGUUAUUGUUUAAUUAGUCUCAGGGUCUUUAACGCUCUAACUCUAACAGCUACGGGCGGUUGGGAUUGCAGUGCAGCUGUCGAGCAGGUAUACAGGUUAUUCAUUGCUAUUGUCCUGAUCCCAUAUCCAGUUUUAGAAAUAUUUCAUUUAGUAAAGCCAGCAUCGAAACGACUGCUGAGAAAUUUCUUGUCUCCGCCGCAGACGAAGAAAAACAGCUAACACGUCAGUGUCGGCCCAAGCGCUCACGAGUAUGCAUCAUCUACGGACAGCAAUCGCAUUGAUAGGGCCGAGUUCCAAGCUGUGCAGCAGAGCAAAGAAGCCAGAAUAAAACGAAGACUUGAAAAAAAAACAGGCUGAAGCCAUCGACAAUGCUGAAGGAUGUGUGCUGUAUGGAGCUGGAAUUGAUGAUUCUGUAUAAUUUCCGGCCGAGU